rnacentral:rRNA from 1 species
CCCUUAGAGUUUGAUCCUGGCUCAAGACGAACGCUGGCGGCGUGCUUAACACAUGCAAGUCGAACGAAGAGCGAUGGAAGCUUGCUUCUAUCAAUCUUAGUGGCGAACGGGUGAGUAACGCGUAAUCAACCUGCCCUUCAGAGGGGGACAACAGUUGGAAACGACUGCUAAUACCGCAUACGAUCCAAUCUCGGCAUCGAGGAUGGAUGAAAGGUGGCCUCUAUUUAUAAGCUAUCACUGAAGGAGGGGAUUGCGUCUGAUUAGCUAGUUGGAGGGGUAACGGCCCACCAAGGCGAUGAUCAGUAGCCGGUCUGAGAGGAUGAACGGCCACAUUGGGACUGAGACACGGCCCAGACCCCUACGGGAGGCAGCAGUGGGGAAUCUUCCGCAAUGGACGAAAGUCAGACGGAGCAACGCCGCGUGAGUGAUGACGGCCUUCGGGUUGUAAGCUCUGUUAAAUCGGGACGAAAGGCCUUCUUGCGAAUAGUUAGAAGGAUUGACGGUACCGGAAUAUAAAGCCACGGCUAACUACGUGCCAGCAGACGCGGUAAUACGUAGGUGGCAAGCGUUGUCCGGAAAUUAUUGGGAGUAAAGCGCGCGCAGGCGGAUUGGUCAGUCAGUCUUAAAAGUUCGGGGCUUAACCCCGUGAUGGGAUGGAAACUGCCAAUCUAGAGUAUCGGAGGGGAAAGUGGAAUUCCUAGUGUAGCGGUGAAAUGCGUAGAUAUUAGGAAGAACACCAGUGGCGAAGGCGACUUUCUGGACGAAAACUGACGCUGAGGCGCGAAAGCCAGGGGAGCGAACGGGAUUAGAGACCCCGGUAGUCCUGGCCGU